rnacentral:rRNA from 1 species
GACGAACGCUGGCGGCGUGCUUAACACAUGCAAGUCGAACGAAAAGAGGGAAAGAGCUUGCUCUUUCCGGAAUUGAGUGGCAAACGGGUGAGUAACACGUAAACAACCUGCCUUCAGGAUGGGGACAACAGACGGAAACGACUGCUAAUACCGAAUAAGUUCCAAGAGCCGCAUGGCCCAUGGAAGAAAAGGUGGCCUCUACCUGUAAGCUAUCGCCUGAAGAGGGGUUUGCGUCUGAUUAGCUGGUUGGAGGGGUAACGGCCCACCAAGGCGACGAUCAGUAGCCGGUCUGAGAGGAUGAACGGCCACACUGGAACUGAGACACGGUCCAGAAGCCUACGGGAGGCAGCAGGGGGGAAUCUUCCGCAAUGGGCGAAAGCCUGACGGAGCAACGCCGCGGGAGGGAUGACGGCCUUCGGGUUGUAAAACUCUGUGAUCCGGGACGAAAAGGCAGAGUGCGAAGAACAAACUGCAUUGACGGUACCGGAAAAGCAAGCCACGGCUAACUACGUG